UACAGAGGUCUCAAGCGUUGUUCGGAUUCAUUGGGCGUAAAGGGCGCGUAGGCGGCCUUCUAAGUCAGACGUGAAAUCCCCCGGCUUAACCUGGGAACUGCGUCUGAUACUGGGAGGCUUGAGUAUGGGAGAGGGAUGUAGAAUUCCAGGUGUAGCGGUGAAAUGCGUAGAUAUCUGGAGGAAUACCGGUGGCGAAGGCGGCAUCCUGGACCAUAACUGACGCUGAGGCGCGAAAGCUAGGGGAGCAAACGGG
rnacentral:rRNA from 1 species